rnacentral:misc_RNA from 1 species
UGUGUGCAAUCCGCUUUUCGUCUCCCCUCCGUCGGUUUGGCGAGUCGCACCGUCGCCAGUGCGGCUUCCUCAUCCUCGUAGCAGGGCACGGAGCACCUAAUCCUCGCUCUCGCUUUCUCGCAUGACGAAAGACCGUCUCCAUUACCGCCUGUCGAGGAAGCACGCCCAUGGCGCGGAGGAGGUGGAGCGGUCUAUCGGCAUCACCUGCUCACGCUAUGCGCCAGCAGCCCGGACAGCGGGCGCGCGCCGCCCCGUGGCGCUCAUAAAGUGGGCCUUCGACGACUACAUCAUGGAGGAGGAGCUACCGAGCGACGCCUUCGUUUCAUCUACGCCAGUGGAUGCCAAGCUUCGCACAAGCCUCGUCGUCCGCCUCAUCAGCGAAGGGGUGCCAGACACAGUCGUUGAGCGGCAGCUGCGUGAGCGGCUGCCAAAGCACAUGCAGUUUCACUUCCUCUCUCCCGUUGACUUUGUCAGCUGUGCGUCGCGCUACGUUUGGCUGCGUUGUGAUGGCGCCCAGGCAGCCCAACUGCUGAGCGACUCCUUUCAGCGGGAGCAGCUGUGGCACACAGGGACCGGCGACGUGUACGUCAGUCCUGUGCAGGAGGUGCGUGUCGACUCCAGGGCUGACCACUUCCCUCCGCACUUGCUUCCCAGCACCCGGUACACUGUCACCCUGCGCAACGUGCAAGGCAGCUUGGGCGAUGUGCUCCCGCAGCUUCGCAGUGUUGCCCAGAAUGGGUUUCUAAACUACUCCCACACCGCCCGGCACGGUGUUGGGCUCUACUACGUCUACAAGGACGCGAAACUGCUGCUGCGUCGCGAGUAUGGCGAAUUCCUCCAAAACUACAUGAGGCGCCUCACCGAGGGCACCACCCACGUCCAGCGGGAGAUGCCCGUACUGCAGGAGGUCCUCGCCUCACCGCGCAGUUCGCGACGUGAUUGGAUCAGCGUGGUUGAAGGGAUGGAAGCUGCCGUCAAGGGUGACGCGCAGGUGUACGCGCGGACGCGGCAGACCGGCUUGUACCCGCCGCAUCACGACCUGCUUCUGGACUUUGUGCGGCGGGCAGCAGAUGUCGCCCCGCGUCACCAUGACUCGGCGCAGAUCAUUCGCGAAGCGGUGCGUCCGCUCGUGCUGCAGGAGGCGCUGCACGCCAUCACAGAUGUGCACUUCAACGCGCUGGCCUCCCUCCGCUGGCAACGCGGUGGCGACACCGUCGCAGUCGGUGACGUUGUUCGCGUUCGAGACUUGACCCGCCAGCACCCCGCUGAGCCGGAUAACGCGCGAGACGUCUUCGCCGGUGCGGCAGAUCACAUCAACGGCGCGAUGCUCUCUUCGGCUCAUCAAGACUGGUCAGCGUUCAAAGCUGAGGAAAUCGGAGCCGCGCAAACGGCGGAUGCCUACCGGCGUGUUGCCACGAAAGCGGAAGCUUCCCAGUAUCGCCUCACGGAUGUUGUGCUGCCGACGUUUGGCAGAGAUGUGACCCACCUUCCACUCAUGUCGGAGGAGAGCAGCGAUGCGCUCCUUGCCGCCCUCGCACAAGAGCUUCGCGUUGAGGGCCUGGCAGAAAUGCGCCUCGCGCCACGCGCAGCUUUCCGCCCGCUCGUGCAGCUGCCCGUGAACAUGUCGUUUUACGUGGUGGAUGAAAAGCGCGGCUGGGACUGGGAAGAGGAUGCCGGUGCGGCGCGCAUCAAGGCGUCGCUCUACCACGAUCAGGAUGGCAUUCUGCGCUGCCACUCGCCCAUGUCGCGGCGGACGGGCAAGAACAUGGUUGCACGCCUUGGUAUUCGGGGCGAUGCGGCCCGCAAGUUUUUCCUCAAACCGGCACGGAGGCUUGGCAUGACGUGUGUAAUGCAGUUCACGCUCCCGGCAGGAAGUCACGCGACAUCGGCGAUUCGAGAGGCGUUUAUGAUAGCUACCGUCUCACCCUCCGCCAUCUUCCGCCUCCUUGCCGCGAAGUAGAGGUGAUGGCGGGCGAGUUUUGUGGCUCGGGACUGCUGCUCGCAUGCACAUGUGAACGCCCUCCCCUCCCCUCUCGGUACACUCCCGCCAUGCCAUGCGCCGUUGCACUCCCGCCUUCCUCUUUUGUAUUUGUGUGUGCGUGCAUGCGCCUUCUCCCUCUUUCGC